AGACUACAGGCGAAUAUCCGUCGAAUAUCCAACCUGAAACUGGCUUUACCUCGGUUCUUCAGCUCCCUCUGCUUACACUUUCUACCAUUCUUCUUCAACUCACCCUCUUCUUCCCUCUCUCUUAGACUUCUUCUCCCUCCAUUCCUCCUCCGUUUUCCAAGUAUACGUCUCCUUAAGAUAAUACUGCUGCCCCACUCCUGACACCCAUCUUGCUCUUGCUUUCUCUAGGGACUCCAUUUCCCUUCAAGAGAGAGAACAACGGCUAAAUAUGGUCUUAAUUUGCAAUGCUCAAUCCCCCACGUCACUCCGCCAACCACCAGGAUGCCCGGCAUCAGAACAUUCCAGGCAUUCCCGUGACUGGCAGAUAGCAGGUUGAUUGGCAUGCCGGACCCCGCGAACACUAGGUAUUGAUGGUCGCAUGCGGUUGGACACAUGGAGGAGAGAAUCAUUUUCGCAGUAUCCUCAAAACCGUGUCUUUUUGACACAACUGCUGACAGCUACAGGGAAAUAAACACAAAAAAUUCUGCUUGGAGACAAGUGUCCACGAUAGUAGGAUUGCCAGGUCAGUUUAGUAGUGGGCAUGUGCCAGAUGUGGCUAGUUAACGUGACCCACAACAAUGGGUCCUGGAGAAGACUAGCCUACCUUCAUCAGAGCAGAAGGCACCCCAAUUUUCUUUUCAUUUGGUAACAUUGCAUAAUUAAAAAAUGAUUCUAAACCAACUUUGGGAAAAGUUAUAGUCCUAAUGAACAUUCUGUAAAAGUACAUCUGAUGUCAAAUAGGGACUAUUAACUAGAGAGCCCUUUAGCUAGCUAGCUAGCUAGGUUGCACAUAAAAACAAUGUAUCAAAUAUCAAUCAAUUAUGGUAUCAAAGGCUUUAAAAAUGUACUAGAAUGUAGCUUUCCGGAGACAAAUCGGCAGGCGUUCAACUGGGCUGAUGGACUCCCGGUAGUUGGUAUCCAUCCGUAUGAUCCUGGCUCCAACCAUCUGAAACAGGUGAUCAAACUGGCUUCGGUCCAGACGAAAGUAACUUCUGAAUUCCUCUCCAAGCAGUCGAAGCUCUUGAAUGAGACGGUGGAACUCCCCUGCCUGCUUUCGGGACUUUAACCAUCUCUGGACCCACACAGACCUGCGCUUUCGGUGGGGCUGGUCCUGGCCCAACAGCGUGAUCAAGACCACCUUCCUCAACGUUGGUCUCAUUGUUGAAAGAGCCGACUCUGCUAUCUUGACUAUUAUGCAUUUCGCUCCAAAGCUGCAUUUUGGAGGGAAAUUAUAUUAUAGGCUCUCACAAUUAAUUUGUGGAUGUCAUCGAGUAAAUAAUAUACUUGGCAAAUAAAUGAAUAAAAAAAUGUAAAGAAA